UUUCUGCUUCUUGAGCCCAUCUCUUCUUUGUGCUCCUGGGAACAGAGUGGUUUUGCUCCUAAGGAGCGGCCAGUUUUGCAUUUUACAAUUUAAAAGUUUUCAAGUGACUGAGCUGUAAAGAAGGUAUGCACCGUAAUUUGAUGUCACUAUGAACUACAAAUAAAUUCCUCCUCACCCAAAUUUAGCCCAUGGAAAUAUUUUAUACUGGGAGAACUCUGGUGCCCAGCUCCCAAGGCUCCCAAGGUUAAGUUUUUCCUUUGCCUUCCUCCUAUUUAUAUCUUAACCCUGUUUUCACAGCACAACAAACAUUUAGGAAGGGAAGAUGUCAUUAUAGAAAUACUACCAUAUUACACGUCUUCCUCGGCUUACGAGGGGUUACCUCCUUAUAAACCCAUCAUAAGUUGAAAGUAUGGUAAGUGGAAAACACAUGUAAUACAUCUAAUCUACUAACCAGCUGACCUUAAACAUGUUCAGAACUCUUCACCUCAGCCUACGGUUGGCAAGAUCAUGUAACACAAAGCCUAUUUUGUAAUAAAAUAUUGAAUAUCUCAUGUAAUAUGUUGAAUAUUGUACAGAAAGGGAAAUACAUAAUGGCUGUGUGGGUGCAGAAUGGUUGUCAGUGUAUUGGUUGUUUACCUUCAUGAGCCUGUGGUUGCCUGGGGGGUGGGACUUGCUUCUCCUGCCCAGCAUCGGGAGAGAGGAUCCUGCAUGCCACCGCUGGCCCAGGAAAAAGUCAGAAUUUAAAAGUUGACCUCUGGGGGCGCCUGGGUGGCUCAGCCAGUUAAAGCGUCUUACUUUGGAUUUCAGCUCAGGUCAUUAUUUCACAGUUGUGAGAUCAGGCCCCGCAUUGGGCUCUGCCAGGCAUGGACCCUGCUCGGGAUUCUCUCUCUCCUUCUCCCUCUGCCCCUCCCCAGCUUGGCACACAGGUGCUCGCUAUCUCUCAAAAAAACCCAUUUUUUUGACUUAUGGUUUCUGGUGCAUCCAUAUUGCUUUCACACCGCCAUAAAGUUGGAAAAUCAUAAGUUGAACCAUCGUUAAGUCCGGGACCAUCUGUGAUAUACCGUAUAUCACUGUAUUACCUGUUUUUUAUUUUGUUUUGUUUUGUUUUGUUUUUUUGUUUUUGUUUUUUAAACAGCGUAUUGAGAUAUAAUUCAUAUACCAUACACUUCACUCAUUUAAAAUACACAAUUCACGGGGCGCCUGGGUGGCUCAGUCAGUUAAACAUCCGACUUCGGCUCAGGUCAUGAUCUUGUGGUCCAUGGGUUCGUGCGCCGUGUUGGGCUCUGUGCUGACAGCUCAGAGCCUGGAGCCUGCUUCGGAUUCUGUGUCUCCCUCUUUCUCUGCCUCUCCUCUGCUUGUGCUGUGUCUCUCUCUCUCUCUCAAAAAUAAACAUUAAGAUAAAAAAAAAGAAAGAAAAUAAAAUACACAAUUCAUCUUUUUCUAGUAUAUUCAUACGAUCAUGCAGCCAGUCAUCACGAUCUAAUUUUAGAACAUUUCCAUCGUUUCAGAAGGAAACCCCACACCCAUUAAGCAGUCAUUCUUCAUUCCUGUGUCUCUCCCAGCCCCUGGCAACCCCUGCCCUACCUUUCUUUGCCUGCCAGUUUGCCUGUUCUGGGCAUUUCGUGAGAAGGGAAUCAUAUAAUAUGUGGUGUUUUGUAACUAGCUUAUUUAACUUAGCAUAAUUAUUUUACACUUUGGGGUGCUAUUGUAAAUAGAACCAUUUUCUUAAUUUCAUUUUUGGAAUUAUUACUAAUGUAUAGAAGUACAAGUGAUUUUUGUUUAUUGAUCGGUUUUGUAUCCUGUCACCUUGCUGAAUUUGUUUAUUAGUUCUGAGUUUUCCAGUGAAUUCCUUAGAAUUUUCUUUGUGGAAAAUCAUGUCAUCUGCAAAUAGAGAUAGUUUUACUUUUUCAUUUCUACUUUGGAUGUCUUUUAUUUCAUUUUCUUGCCUAAUUGCCCUGGUUAGAACCCUCAGCUCACUGUUGAAUGGGACAUACUCAUCUUGUUCCUGAUUGUAGGGAGAAAGCAUUUAAUCUUUUAUCAUAAAGUAUGAUGUUGUCUUUGGGUUACUUGCAGAUGGCCAUUACCGGGUUGAGGAAGUCCCUUUUUAUUCCUAGUUUGUUGAGUGUUUUACAACGAAGAAGUGUUGGGUUUUGUCAGAUCCUUUUUCUGCAUCUACAGAGGUGAUGAUGUGGUUUUUAUCCUUUAUCGUAUUAAUAGAGUGUAUUAUGUUAAUUGAUUUUUGAAUGUUAAACCAGCCUUGGUUCUUGAAAUAAAUCCCUCUUGGUCAUGA